rnacentral:miRNA from 1 species
CGUACUUCUUUACAUCGCCAUA